GAUGAACGCUGGCGGCGUGCCUAAUACAUGCAAGUCGAGCGAACAGACGAGGAGCUUGCUCCUCUGACGUUAGCGGCGGACGGGUGAGUAACACGUGGAUAACCUACCUAUAAGACUGGGAUAACUUCGGGAAACCGGAGCUAAUACCGGAUAAUAUAUUGAACCGCAUGGUUCAAUAGUGAAAGACGGUUUUGCUGUCACUUAUAGAUGGAUCCGCGCCGCAUUAGCUAGUUGGUAAGGUAACGGCUUACCAAGGCAACGAUGCGUAGCCGACCUGAGAGGGUGGUCGCCCACACUGGAACUUAGACACGGUCCAGACUCCUACGGGAGGCAGCAGUAGGGAAUCUUCCGCAAUGGGCGAAAGCCUGACGGAGCAACGCCGCGUGAGUGAUGAAGGUCUUCGGAUCGUAAAACUCUGUUAUUAGGGAAGAACAAAUGUGUAAGUAACUAUGCACGUCUUGACGGUACCUAAUCAGAAAGCCACGGCUAACUACGUG
rnacentral:rRNA from 1 species